rnacentral:rRNA from 2 species
ACGGAAGGCAGCAGUGGGGAAUAUUGGGCAAUGGGCGAAAGCCUGACCCAGCAACGCCGCGUGAAGGAAGAAGGCCUUCGGGUUGUAAACUUCUUUUACCAGGGACGAAGGACGUGACGGUACCUGGAGAAAAAGCAACGGCUAACUACGUGCCAGCAGCCGCGGUAAUACGUAGGUUGCAAGCGUUGUCCGGAUUUACUGGGUGUAAAGGGCGUGUAGGCGGAGCUGCAAGUCAGAUGUGAAAUCCCGGGGCUCAACCCCGGAACUGCAUUUGAAACUGACGUUCUUGAGUGUUGGAGAGGCUAACGGAACUCCUAGUGUAGCGGUGAAAUGCGUAGAUAUUAGGAAGAACACCAGUGGCGAAGGCGGUUAGCUGGACAAUAACUGACGCUGAGGCGCGAAAGCGUGGGUAGCAAACAGGAUUAGAUACCCUGGUA